UAACAAUUAGAUCCAGGUUGUAUAUUUAACUAAAUUUCUUUCUCACAUGUAUUAGUACUAAAGAAAAUAGAAAAUUAAAAGUUUAUUAGGUAGGCUCAGUGGGUUAAAUUAAAUUAUAAAUUAUAAUUUGAGUUAGAAAGAAAUAGAUAUAAAGAAAAUUAUUGUGCCAGCAUCUGCGGUCAUACAAUAUUAUAAAGUUAAAAUAGUUAUAUUAGAAAAUACUAGAGUAAUUACUUAAGUUUGCUUUAUUAAAUAGGUAAAAUUAUUAAUAGAUAAGACUAUUACAAUAACUAGUACAACAUAUAUCUUAAGGACCUGGAUUAGAUACCCAGUUACUAAUAUAUAAUAUUUCUAAGAGUAAUAAUAAUAAUAAAAUUUAUUGGAUUUGGCGGCAAGAUACCUGAUUAGAGGAACCUGUCCUAUUAAUGAUAUUACACAAUUUAUCUUACUAUUUUUUGUUAUUCAGUUUACAUACCGCUGUUGUCAAUUAAAUUUUAUAAGAUAUUAUUAAUAAAAUAAAAAAUUUUUACUUCAAGUAAAGGUGUAGCUAAUAAAAUAGAAAGAGAUGGGUUACAAUUAAAUGAAUAAAGCGGAUUUAUAAAUUAGAAGGGUAUUAAAGAAGGAUUUAAUGGUAAGUAUUUUAAAUGAAGUACUGAUUUAAGAAAUAUCUUGUGUACAAACCGCCCGUCGCUCUCAUUUAAGAGAUAAGUCGUAACAAGGUAAGUGUAACGGAAGUUGUACUUGG
rnacentral:ncRNA from 1 species